rnacentral:rRNA from 1 species
AGGGUUUGAUCAUGGCUCAGAUUGAACGCUGGCGGUAUGCUUUACACAUGCAAGUCGAACGGCAGCAUAGGUGCUUGCACCUGAUGGCGAGUGGCGAACGGGUGAGUAAUGCAUCGGAACGUGCCCAGUCGUGGGGGAUAACGCAGCGAAAGCUGUGCUAAUACCGCAUACGAUCUAUGGAUGAAAGCGGGGGACCUUCGGGCCUCGCGCGAUUGGAGCGGCCGAUGUUAGAUUAGGUAGUUGGUGGGGUAAAGGCUCACCAAGCCAACGAUCUGUAGCUGGUCUGAGAGGACGACCAGCCACACUGGAACUGAGACACGGUCCAGACUCCUACGGGAGGCAGCAGUGGGGAAUUUUGGACAAUGGACGCAAGUCUGAUCCAGCCAUUCCGCGUGCAGGAUGAAGGCCCUCGGGUUGUAAACUGCUUUUGUACGGAACGAAAAGGUUUCUAUUAAUACUAGGAGCUCAUGACGGUACCGUAAGAAUAAGCACCGGCUAACUACGUGCCAGCAGCCGCGGUAAUACGUAGGGUGCAAGCGUUAAUCGGAAUUACUGGGCGUAAAGCGUGCGCAGGCGGUUAUGUAAGACAGAGGUGAAAUCCCCGGGCUCAACCUGGGAAUGGCGCCUGUGACUGUAUAGCUAGAGUGUGUCAGAGGGGGGUAGAAUUCCACGUGUAGCAGUGAAAUGCGUAGAUAUGUGGAGGAAUACCAAUGGCGAAGGCAGCCCCCUGGGAUAACACUGACGCUCAUGCACGAAAGCGUGGGGAGCAAACAGGAUUAGAUACCCUGGUAGUCCACGCCCUAAACGAUGCUGACUAGUUGUUCGGGAUUUACAUCCUGAGUAACGUAGCUAACGCGUGAAGUCAGCCGCCUGGGGAGUACGGUCGCAAGAUUAAAACUCA